AGUGGCGACCGGGUGAGUAACACGUGACUACCUGCCCUUGAGUGGGGGAUAACCUCGGGAAACCGAGGCUAAUACCGCAUAAUAUCGCAAGAUCAAAGGAGCAAUCCGCUUUUGGAGGGGGUCGCGGCUGAUUAGCUAGUUGGUAGGGUAAUGGCCUACCAAGGCGAAGAUCGGUAUCCGGCCUGAGAGGGCGCACGGACACACUGGAACUGAAACACGGUCCAGACUCCUACGGGAGGCAGCAGUGGGGAAUUUUGCGCAAUGGGGGAAACCCUGACGCAGCAACGCCGCGUGGAGGAUGAAGCCCCUUGGGGCGUAAACUCCUUUCGACUGGGAAGAUUAUGACGGUACCAGUGGAAGAAGCACCGGCUAACUCUGUGCCAGCAGCCGCGGUAAUACAGAGGGUGCGAGCGUUGUUCGGAAUUAUUGGGCGUAAAGGGCGCGUAGGCGGUGUUGUAAGUCACCUGUGAAACCUCUGGACUUAACUCAGAGCCUGCAGGCGA
rnacentral:rRNA from 1 species